UUGAAAGCACUGCAAAGUGAGUGAUUCCAUGUUCAGAGCUUUCUUUCUGUGCUGCUCUUCUGCUUCAGAGAAGAAAGAGCAUCUGGACUGAACUGCCUGCCAGUGUCCCUGCCCUUCCUGUAUUCUGUUCUUCACUCUUAUCCACCAUCAUUGAACUCUCUGUCUCUUUUUCCUUUUUAUUUUCUGUUCUGCACUUUGCCUCCCCAAGCCUUUGCCCAGAGCCUUUCUGCACUGCCUUCUUUGCCUGAAAGUGCAAAGGUGCUGCUGUGAGAGUUUUAAACCAGAGGCCAAGCCAAAGAGAGACUCAUCUGUCACAGGUCUCCACUCCAAAGGAUGGCAUGGCACCCAGCAUGGUGCUUGCUGCUGAAAACUGACAAAAGAGCUACUUCCAAGUCUGCUGUCGAGGCAGCCAUAGAACCCUUGUCCUCCAGUCUCCUGCCCGACAGUGAUCCCCUUGGUAUCCAAGGCAGGGACGUUUUCCUCUUUUGGCAAACCAUUGUUUGUCGUCCGGACGGGGAGAGCGCAUCCGCUGCAGCAGCGCUCAUUCUGACUGGCUUUGCAGGGGACAGUCUCCAGCAACGACUGACUGAUGCUUCCCCCUCCAAUGCUAAUAUGCCUUCCCUUGGAAAGAUCCUGCUCUCCUAGUGCUGCAGCAGCAAGCUCUUCCUCCUGCCAGCACUCACUGCUCCUUGGAGAUCUGUGAAUCUUCAGGAGCAGCCUCCUUUUGCAUGUGAUGAAAUCAGAUCAGGCUAACUCUUGGCCUCCUGUUUCUUUUUCCCCUGGCAGUGCCUGCAAGGCCUGGCUUUCCUUCAUGUCAAGCAGGUGAUCCACAGAGACAUCAAAAGUGACAACAUCCUUCUGGGCCGGGAUGGCUCCGUCAAGCUGGCUGAUUUUGGCCUCUGUGCUGUGCUCAGCCCUGAGCACAGGAAACGGAGGUCGAUGGUCGGGACCACUUACUGGAUGGCACCCGAGGUCGUGAGAAGAGAGCCUUACGGCCCCAAAGUGGACACCUGGUCCCUUGGGAUUGUGGGAAUAGAAAUGGCCACAGGAGAGGCUCCUUAUAUGCAGGAGACCAGUGUCAAGGCCAGCUACCUGAUAGGCAAGCAAGGGGUUCCAAAUCUGCACCAGCUCAGGCUCCCCCCUGGCUUGUGUGAAUUUCUGGGCUGCUGCCUGCAGAUGGAUGUGGACAGGCGAGGCUCUGCCAAGGAACUUCUGCAGCAUCCAUUUCUGCAAUCAGCGGAGCCUCUCUUAAGCCUCUUCUGACAGCCUGAUUGCUGCCAUCCCUGCAGCAAGGGAAUGCAAGAAGCAAAGGAGAUGACAAGGUGUGAGAGUCUGUCCGAAACUUCCCUCAUUUUUUGCCUCUCGAUCGUCAUGAAAGCCAAGACCACCGGGGAAAGGGAAGGAUCCUGUUCUGAAAAUCCAGGUCUGUCUGGUCCACCAAGCCAGAUUAUUGCCUACGGGUGUGUUUGCUCAACUCAUGGAACACUGCACCCAAGAAGGGGCAGUGUGCUCUCCUUCGCCUGCAUCACCUAGCAACGCUAGUGCUGGAAUUUCUCCACCCUUCUGACUUGGCUGGACUUUCUCUCUGGAAUGACCUUUCUGGAGGUCACCACAAAAGGACCCUCCAUUCACCGUACAUCAACCACCGUGACAGAUGGACUGAGAUGGGAGAAGGUUCUCCCCUCAAGGACUGAGACGUGUGACCUCUACAUGGAAAAGCUCCCCUCUUCUUCCCAAAAGGACUGAGACUGAAAUCCCUACCGUAGGGUGAGGGAAGGCGUGCGUGGUGACCAAAGCAAGUUUUGCAAGCGACCACUGGACCGAGAAGACAAUGGUUCCUGCCUACGACAUCUGCUGCUGACGACGCCUGUUCCUGAUGGACUACUGAUGGACUCCUUGUACCCUUUAUCAAUAGACUAUUUUGAAAUGGGUCCCCUUCCCCCAUUUCAAAAGGACUAUAAAAAAGGUUAGGCCUGACUGAUACCUUUGAGAUCUCCCUGACGUGAAGAUGACAGGCCUCUUUAUCGACCGGACUUCGAGGGACUUUGUCAUCUGCACAUCUGGUAUGCUACCAGCGUGAAGGAGACUUGAAGACCUGCUGAUGAAGAUCCUUUCAAGACAAUCGUGAGUCACGGGGUCGUGUGAGAGUCUGUCCGAAACUUCCCUCAUUUUUUGCCUCUCGAUCGUCAUGAAAGCCAAGACCACCGGGGAAAGGGAAGGAUCCUGUUCUGAAAAUCCAGGUCUGUCUGGUCCACCAAGCCAGAUUAUUGCCUACGGGUGUGUUUGCUCAACUCAUGGAACACUGCACCCAAGAAGGGGCAGUGUGCUCUCCUUCGCCUGCAUCACCUAGCAACGCUAGUGCUGGAAUUUCUCCACCCUUCUGACUUGGCUGGACUUUCUCUCUGGAAUGACCUUCCCGGAGGUCACCACAAAAGGACCCUCCAUUCACCGUACAUCAACCACCGUGACAGAUGGACUGAGAUGGGAGAAGGUUCUCCCCUCAAGGACUGGGACAUGCGACCCCUACAUGGAAAAGCUCCCCUCUUCUUCCCAAAAGGACUAAGACUGAAAUCCCCACCGUAGGGUGAGGGAAGGCGUGCGUGGGGACCGGAGCAAGUUUUGCAAGUGACCACGGGACCGAGAACACAAUGGUUCCUGCCUACGACAUCUGCUGCUGACGACG